CCUACGGGUGGCAGCAGUGGGGAAUAUUGGACAAUGGGGGGAACCCUGAUCCAGCCAUGCCGCGUGUGUGAAGAAGGCCCUCGGGUUGUAAAGCACUUUCAGUGAGGAAGAACGCCUGGUGGUUAAUACCCAUCAGGAAAGACAUCACUCACAGAAGAAGCACCGGCUAACUCCGUGCCAGCAGCCGCGGUAAUACGGAGGGUGCGAGCGUUAAUCGGAAUUACUGGGCGUAAAGCGCGCGUAGGUGGCUUGAUAAGCCGGUUGUGAAAGCCCCGGGCUCAACCUGGGAACGGCAUCCGGAACUGUCAAGCUAGAGUGCAGGAGAGGAAGGUAGAAUUCCCGGUGUAGCGGUGAAAUGCGUAGAGAUCGGGAGGAAUACCAGUGGCGAAGGCGGCCUUCUGGACUGACACUGACACUGAGGUGCGAAAGCGUGGGUAGCAAACAGGAUUAGAUACCCUAGUAUC
rnacentral:rRNA from 1 species